GCCCGAAUGGUCUAGUGGUAUGAUUCUUGCUUUGGGUGCAAGAGGCCCCGUGUUCGAUCCACGGUUCGGGCC
rnacentral:tRNA from 1 species